rnacentral:rRNA from 1 species
AGCGAACGCUGGCGGCAGGCCUAACACAUGCAAGUCGAACGGACCCUUCGGGGUUAGUGGCGGACGGGUGAGUAACACGUGGGAACGUGCCUUUAGGUUCGGAAUAGCUCCUGGAAACGGGUGGUAAUGCCGAAUGUGCCCUUCGGGGGAAAGAUUUAUCGCCUUUAGAGCGGCCCGCGUCUGAUUAGCUAGUUGGUGGUGUAACGGACCACCAAGGCGACGACCAGUAGCUGGUCUGAGAGGAUGAGCAGCCACAUUGGGACUGAGACACGGCCCAAACUCCUACGGGAGGCAGCAGUGGGGAAUCUUGCGCAAUGGGCGAAAGCCUGACGCAGCCAUGCCGCGUGAAUGAUGAAGGUCUUAGGAUUGUAAAAUUCUUUCACCGGGGACGAUAAUGACGGUACCCGGAGAAGAAGCCCCGGCUAACUUCGUGCCAGCCGCCGCGGUAACAC